rnacentral:rRNA from 1 species
GAUGAACGCUGGCGGCGUGCCUAAUACAUGCAAGUCGAGCGAACGGACGAGAAGCUUGCUUUUCUGAUGUUAGCGGCGGACGGGUGAGUAACACGUGGAUAACCGGCCUAUAAGACUGGGAUAACGUCGGGAAACCGGAGCUAAUAUCGGAUAAUAGCUUGAACCGCAUGGUUCAAAAGUGAAAGACGGUCUUGCUGUCACUUAUAGAUGGAUCCGCGCUGCAUUAGCUAGUUGGUAAGGUAACGGCUUACCAAGGCAACGAUGCAUAGCCGACCUGAGAGGGUGAUCGGCCACACUGGAACUGAGACACGGUCCAGACUCCUACGGGAGGCAGCAGUAGGGAAUCUUCCGCAAUGGGCGAAAGCCUGACGGAGCAACGCCGCGUGAGUGAUGAAGGUCUUCGGAUCGUAAAACUCUGUUAUUAGGGAAGAACAUAUGUGUAAGUAACUGUGCACAUCUUGACGGUACCUAAUCAGAAAGCCACGGCUAACUACGUG